rnacentral:rRNA from 1 species
UACGGAGGAUGCGAGCGUUAUCCGGAUUUAUUGGGUUUAAAGGGUGCGUAGGCGGACGCUUAAGUCAGCGGUAAAAUUGCGGGGCCCAACCUCGUCGAGCCGUUGAAACUGGGUGUCUUGAGUGGGCGAGAAGUACGCGGAAUGCGUGGUGUAGCGGUGAAAUGCAUAGAUAUCACGCAGAACUCCGAUUGCGAAGGCAGCGUACCGGCGCCCAACUGACGCUGAAGCACGAAGGCGUGGGUAUCGAACAGG